rnacentral:rRNA from 3 species
ACUUAAAUUGAAGAGUUUGAUCAUGGCUCAGAUUGAACGCUGGCGGCAGGCCUAACACAUGCAAGUCGAGCGGUAGCACAGAGAGCUUGCUCUCGGGUGACGAGCGGCGGACGGGUGAGUAAUGUCUGGGAAACUGC